AUUGAACGCUGGCGGCAGGCCUAACACAUGCAAGUCGAGCGGCAGCGGGAAAGUAGCUUGCUACUUUUGCCGGCGGGCGGCGGACGGGUGAGUAAUGCCUGGGAAAUUGCCCAGUCGAGGGGGAUAACAGUUGGAAACGACUGCUAAUACCGCAUACGCCCUACGGGGGAAAGCAGGGGACCUUCGGGCCUUGCGCGAUUGGAUAUGCCUAGGUGGGAUUAGCUAGUUGGUGAGGUAAUGGCUCACCAAGGCGACGAUCCCUAGCUGGUCUGAGAGGAUGAUCAGCCACACUGGAACUGAGACACGGUCCAGACUCCUACGGGAGGCAGCAGUGGGGAAUAUUGCACAAUGGGGGAAACCCUGAUGCAGCCAUGCCGCGUGUGUGAAGAAGGCCUUCGGGUUGUAAAGCACUUUCAGCGAGGAGGAAAGGUUGAUGCCUAAUACGUAUCAACUGUGACGUUACUCGCAGAAGAAGCACCGGCUAACUCCGUGCCAGCCGCCGCGGUAACAC
rnacentral:rRNA from 1 species